rnacentral:rRNA from 1 species
CAAGCGGUGGAUGAUGUGGAUUAAUUCGAUGCAACGCGAAAAACCUUACCUACCCUUGACAUGUCUGAGAUCCCGAAGAGAUUUGGGAGUGCUCGAAAGAGAAUCGGAACACAGGUGCUGCAUGGCCGUCGUCAGCUCGUGUCGUGAGAUGUUGGGUUAAGUCCCGCAACGAGCGCAACCCUUGUCAUUAGUUGCUACGAAAGGGCACUCUAAUGAGACUGCCGGUGACAAACCGGAGGAAGGUGGGGAUGACGUCAGGUCCUCAUGGCCCUUAUGGGUAGGGCUUCACACGUCAUACAAUGGUCGGGACAGAGGGCAGCCAACCCGCGAGGGGGAGCCAAUCCCAGAAACCCGAUCGUAGUCCGGAUUGCAGUCUGCAACUCGACUGCAUGAAGUCGGAAUCGCUAGUAAUCGCGGAUCAGCAUGCCGCGGUGAAUACGUUCCCGGGUCUUGUACACACC